rnacentral:rRNA from 1 species
GAUGAACGCUGGCGGCGUGCCUAAUACAUGCAAGUCGAGCGAACAGACGAGGAGCUUGCUCCUCUCACGUUAGCGGCGGACGGGUGAGUAACACGUGGAUAACCUACCUAUCAGACUGGGAUAACUUCGGGACACCGGAGCUUAUACCGGAUAAUAUAUUGAACCGCAUUGUUCAAUAGUGAAAUACGGUUUUUCUGUCACUUCUAGAUGGAUCCGCGCCGCAUUAGCUAGUUGGUAAGGUAACGGCCUACCAAGGCAACGAUGCGUAGCCGACCUGAGAGGGGGAUCGGCCACACUGGAACUGAGACAGGGUCCAGACUACUGAGGGAGGCAGCAGUAGGGAACGGUACGCAGUGGGCGAGAGCCUGACGGAGCAACGGCGCGUGAGUGAUGAAGGUCUUCGGAGCGGAAAGCUCGGUUACGAGGGAAGAACAAAUGUGUAAGUAACUAUGGACGGCUUGACGGUAACUAAUCAGAAAGCCGCGGCUAACUACGUG